GCGUCCAUUGUCUAAUGGAAAGGAUGAAGGCUCUUUAGGCCUUGGGUAUAGGUUCAAAUCCUAUUGGACGCU
rnacentral:tRNA from 1 species